GCCCAGGUGGCGGAAUUGGUAGACGCGCACGGUUCAGGGCCGUGUAUCGAAAGAUGCGCAAGUUCGACUCUUGUCCUGGGCACCA
rnacentral:tRNA from 1 species